rnacentral:rRNA from 1 species
UAGGGCGGGACACGUGGUAUCCUGUCUGAAUAUGGGGGGACCAUCCUCCAAGGCUAAAUACUCCUGACUGACCGAUAGUGAACCAGUACCGUGAGGGAAAGGCGAAAAGAACCCCGGCGAGGGGAGUGAAAAAGAACCUGAAACCGUGUACGUACAAGCAGUGGGAGCACCCUUUGGGGUGUGACUGCGUACCUUUUGUAUAAUGGGUCAGCGACUUAUAUUCUGUAGCAAGGUUAACCGAAUAGGGGAGCCGGAGGGAAACCGAGUCUUAAUUGGGCGUUAAGUUGCAGGGUAUAGACCCGAAACCCGGUGAUCUAGCCAUGGGCAGGUUGAAGGUUGGGUAACACUAACUGGAGGACCGAACCGACUAAUGUUGAAAAAUUAGCGGAUGACCUGUGGCUGGGGGUGAAAGGCCAAUCAAACCGGGAGAUAGCUGGUUCUCCCCGAAAGCUAUUUAGGUAGCGCCUCGUGAAUUCAUCUCCGGGGGUAGAGCACUGUUUCGGCUAGGGGGCCAUCCCGGCUUACCAACCCGAUGCAAACUGCGAAUACCGGAGAAUGUUAUCACGGGAGACACACGGCGGGUGCUAACGUCCGUCGUGAAGAGGGAAACAACCCAGACCGCCAGCUAAGGUCCCAAAGUCAUGGUUAAGUGGGAAACGAUGUGGGAAGGCCCAGACAGCCAGGAUGUUGGCUUAGAAGCAGCCAUCAUUUAAAGAAAGCGUAAUAGCUCACUGGUCGAGUCGGCCUGCGCGGAAGAUGUAACGGGGCUAAACCAUG